UGGGUUUUACGUGUUCUAAAUUUAGAUUUUGUUUUGCUAUUACGUCGUAAAUCAGGAAGUGUCCGUUUUUGAAUGUGUAAAGAACACCGCUACUGGACUGCUGGUGAUUCUGGAAAUGGAGUUGAGCAUCAUUAAAGGUCCCAAAUUAGUUGUGGCUUUGGAUAUUGGCAGUACCUACUCAGGGUAUGCGUGGCAAGAAAGAGCGGAAUUCGAAACUAAUAGAAGUGAGAUUCACUUCAAUACGAGUUGGGGAGCAGGUUCUCUGCAGCUUCACAAAACAACAACAUGUAUCCUCAUAGAAUGUCAAAAGAAUGAGGAGGGAGCUAUUGACCAAAAACAAGAAAAUCUCAGUCUCUCGCAGUCACUAGGCGGUAUUAAACUAAACAUAAAUGAUGAAAUAAAGACAAAAAUUGGACAUGAAGCUGAGAGAGUUUACAUUGGAUUGGCGAAACAGAAACAAGAUGCGCACGAGCUUGCCGGACAGUUCUAUUUCUUCAAAAGGUUUAAGUUACUGCUCUACAAUCAGGGAUUCCAUCGUGAGCUGUUAGUAGAGGACCAGAUUGGACAACAGUUGCCCUUAUUUGAUGUAAUGUCACUGUUCAUCAAAACUUUGAAAGAUCAUUGCUUGAAAAAACUGAAGACAAACGGCGUAAACGUUGAACUCAACAAGACCCUUUUUGUAGUCACUGUUCCGGCAAUAUGGUCUGAUGAAGCUAAGAAAUUUAUGCGGGACGCGGCAGUUGAGGCUGGUAUUGGUAAACGAAAUAUUUUGUUGGCCCUUGAACCUGAAACAGCAGCUAUUUAUUGUUUGCAUUUGCCUGAAGGACAAAGAAAAGAAAUGAAUGACCUCGGAAUGAAAGGACAGAAGUUUCUUGUUGCAGACUUAGGCGGUGGAACCGCGGACUUAUCUGCAGUUGAAGUAGAAGAAACAGGGCUACUUAAGGAAAUAUGUCCACCACUAGGUGAUCCAGUAGGAGGGCAAAAGAUCAAUGAGGCAUUUCUGCAAGUUUGUCAUGACAACUUUGAGGGAGAUGGAUGGAAAGAGACGUUCAGUAAAGCAACCCCAGUUGAAAUGCUGAAGAUGGAAGCAGAUUUUGAAAGAAAGAAAGUGACUAUUGGUUCAGAAGAUCCAGAUGGAGAAAUGAUUGAACUUGAAGUUCCAGCACAGGUGCGUGAUAAACUGGAAGAUAAAACUAUACGAUUAAAAGAAAAUAACUACCUUUCAUUUCAGGACAGAGAGCUAAAGUUUAAUUCAACUCUGAUUCGUGACAACCUGUUCAAGGAAACAUGCCAAGUGGUGUAUACAACCAUCAGAAAAGUGCUCAACAGAGAAGAAGUAAAUGGAUUGAAAACGGUAGUUCUUGCUGGCGGUUUUGCGGAAUCGCCGAUCGUGAUCGAAAGCAUCCGUCAAUGGAUAGCUAACGACUUUCCAGAAAUCAAAGUUGUGGUACCAUCUUCACCCUUCAAAGCUGUCUUGAAAGGAGCAGUGCUCUUUGGGCAAGACCCCAUGUUAUUCAAAAGUCGUAAAAGUAGAGAAACAUUCGGAAUUAGGACGAAUUUGCCAUUUGAUCCUAAAAAACAUGACAAGACGAAGAAAUGGAGAAAUAAGGAAACGGGAAAAGACCUUUGCGAAGAUAUUUUCGACGUACAUGUACGUAAAGGUCAAUCUGUUGUGCUUGGCAACAGACAGCCAGUACAGAGUUACUUUCCCUUGUUUAGAAAGCAAACAAAACUUGUGCUUCUUGUCUUUACGUCCACCUCGUUGAAUCCGAAGUACACAACUGAAGACGGCUGUAAACAGUUAGCAAAAAUUACAGUUGAUAUCUCAGACACAACAGGCAGUACUAAAAGAGAAGUCGAAGUGACCAUGAUCUAUGGUGGAACAGAAUUGUCUGUAAUUGCAACAGACAAGGUAUCUGGGAAAGAAUAUAAUACAGACAUUAAAUUCGGUAAUAUGUAACCCGAAUUACACGGACUGUAAAGGUUUGAUGAGAAGUUUUUGUAACGACCAUAUAAAGAAUCGUAUAAAAUAGUGGUUACUUUCUGAGUUACCUUCAGACUUUGUAGAGCGUUGAAACCCAAAUUGUUGAAAAGGAAUGGACGGCGUUGAGAAGUAAUAGAAAAGACUUUAUGUGCAGGAUUUAGUGUUUCGAUAUAUGCAUUGCCCCUGUAUAACAGUUACUUUUAUGGUAUGGCAUGGCCUAUAUUGUGGAGAAAAAGUAUUUUAUAGGUUUUUAAUACAUGCGUACAUAACAUAGUUCCCUAGUUACCCAUGUUGUUGUAAUUAUUGCAAAAAGGGUAAAUUUCCGUCUUGAGCUGUACAUCAUCUUGGAAUGAUCAUUUAAGAUGGUCCAAACAGCAAACAAGACAAAGAGACUAAGUCAUCCAAACCUGUUAUCCAUGCCGUUGCAUUUAUGUCUCCGCUACAGUCCUCGUGACAUUUUUGAAUAUUUAAAUGUUUUGUGCAUAUGGCUGUUUAUCCAUAAUGAUAUUACAGAUUAUGACCAGGUAUUUUUACAAUCAUUUAGUCGAACUAUUUUCAUUUUAUUUACCAAUACAAACGAUUUUUUGAUCAUCUGAUACGGAAUUGAAAAGUUUCCAUGGGUUUAGAGGAUACAUUUACGUUUGGGACCAUCAUUUAGAUCGCCAUUCUAAUGUAAUAACUACUUAUUUGGACAUUACCGCGUUUGGAAUAAGUAUAAAGGUAAAAAACUAACAAUUGUUUUGUCUAAGCAUGUACAGGUCCGUAUUAAAAUUUCACUACAUGCUUGUUAUUUUUGUAAAAUAAACAUGUUUAAGGGAUCUCUUAAGAUAAAUUACAGUGGUAAGUCAUUCUGAAAUGUCAAGUUGUAAUGGCUGUAAUGGUUACUGUUUUAUAUAUUAUGUUUAAUCAGUAAUUAAAAUGAAAUGUAUGAUAUUUUAAAUACAGUACCGUAUAUAUACAACUAAAAAUGUUUUAAUUUGAUUUAUGUGUGUAUAGACAAUUAUAUUACUCUUUGUCUACAUACCCAUCUAAUGAUGAUAAACAAGUUUGUAAAGUUUCAAAGCUGGUGUCAUUAUAGUAUAUAAGUAAACUGGACCUAAACCAAAAAGUAUCCAAGACAUUACGUAAGGUAGGCACUGGAACUGAAAAUACAAACUUCGAGUAGGCUUUAUUUUCUUAACAUAUAAUGUGUAGCUAACUGUGUCAAAGUAUACAGUCUGAAAAAAUAUUUUAAAUAUCAUUUUCUGAAAGAAAAACUGUUAUCUGAACUGAAAAAAAUGAUCCUGGGUAAAUUAUUUGGAAAAAAUGGAGACAACUUCGCCAAAACUUAAUUGUAGGCUUAGCUGACUAUGUACGUAAUAUUUCAUGCAAACCAUGCACUCUUGACCUCUAGGCACGAAAAUAUCAUGUAUAAUUACUCAAUGGUCAGCAGUUUGAAAAGGAAAUUAUGUGAAGAUCAAAUCGUUUAAUACCCUAGUUUGACAUUUCUGUGGUGAAUUUUUUCAACAAACUGACGAUUUUUAAUAAGUUAAAAAUCAUAGAAUUUCACAAGGUAAAAUAGGCUGAGAAAGCUAUUCCUGGAAAGAGAACAAUCUCUGCUACCCAUAUAUAUGCGUAUGGGAAAAAUAUCUAUCUAGAAAUAUAAGAAAAUCAAAAGAAAACAAUUUCAGGACUGUUAAAUGCAUGACUGUGUUAUCCCGUAUAGCAGAUAAAGUAGAUAGGUUACUUUUCCAUUGCACUGUUAUAAUAUAGACUGCACGGUUUUCACGCUCUAAACCGAUUGUUUCCCUUGAGUAAAGAAGGCUUAGGGUAAGUCUCUACAUAAGGGCCAUAAUUCUGAUGAAAUUGAAACGAGUGUUAGGAUUCUUGGUCAACACUGAUCUCAAAUGAUGAUUAAGAAGUAUGCGAAAUUCCAAAGCUAUAGUUAAUAUAUUAUACACGAAAAGUGGCCCUUCACAAAAAUUGUAACAAAAAAGUUCAAAUAUUUCAAGGACUGACAUGGUUGUUAGUCUAACCCCAGCCGUAUAUAUCUCAUACUAUGAAAUCUGUAAUUUUCGUGAGGAAUUUUUAUCUUCUAUUUCCUUAUUGCCUCAAUACACUAAAUGAAAUGCCAACGAAUAUGUGUUUCCUUAAUGUCAUCUUCAUAAUAUUAUAUGAAAUCUACGAAAUUCAAUUCAUGUUGUCACGAAAAAUAAGCUUUUGCCGAAACCACGAAAAUCUCAAAAAUAUCUGAGACUUAUUUGUUCUUGUAUUUCAAACAAAUGAGUUUUAGUGUGUUUAACUUUGUUUCUUUACUAUUUUACAUAAUGCAAAAUAUAGCAAAGCAUAUUUUCGACAAUGAAUAUAUUUUCAAAUUUAGAAACAUGGCGUCGAUAACGUUUAUUAGUCACCUUAUGGUUAAAAAUCAGUUUCAGGGACUUUAAGAUUGCGCUUUUCCGUCCGCCUGUCCGUCCGUCAUUCUCUCUUUUCGUCCGUCUGUCCGUCAGAAAUUUCGUGUUUGGUCCAUAACACGUGCAUUAAUCAAGGGAUUUUAAUUUUACUUGGCACAAAUGUUUACCUUGAUCAGACGACGUGUCACGCGCAAAAUUCGGACCCUUAGCUUAAAGGUAAAGGUUACAAAUUGGUGUAACGGAAUUCUCCCUUACAAAAUGAACGUCAUGAAAUUAUGUGACAAAUAAGCAUUUAGCAUACACAUAACUGUUGAACUAGUGUAAUUUAACUUAAUACAAUGGCUGUUUUUGAUAUUUAAAAUGUUUAUAUACGUCACACCUAAAUAACGUUCCUACAAAUGGACUGUUUCCUACAAAGAUUCUUCAUAAAAUUAGAACGGCAUCAUAGUUGACAUUGCUGCUGGUGAGAGAGUACUCUACAUUAGGAUACGGAACUCUUGCGAUAAUUAGUCCAGGAGGCAGAUGGUUCUUUUAGCGAAUAUAUUAAUUACUCUCGGACACGUACAGGAAGAGAUUUUUACCACAAUAUGACUAUCUACAGACGUAUUGGAACAUUUCCGACGAUGCUGUCUUGCACCAUUUAGGGUAUUUUAAAAUGGCGGACACAGAACUACAUUUUAGGGUCCGGCUUUUCGUGAAUGUAUCUUUGUUAUGAAUGAAACUUUUUAGGGAUUCAUAUUUAUGAUAAGAUAACUUAAAGCCUGGUGCAAGCCGGGUAUUCCAUGUCAAUUUUAACAUUUUACUGUGUAUGUACUAUAUAUUGUUAGCGAAACAUUUUUGUCAAUAUGUU